CAGCCGCCGCGGUAAUACCGGCGGCCCGAGUGGCGGCUACUAUUAUUGGGCCUAAAGCGUCCGUAGCCGGGCUGGUAAGGCCUCCGGGAAAUCUGGUCGCUUAAAGAUCAGACUUCCGGGGGAUACUGCUGGCCUAGGGACCGGGAGAGGCCGAGGGUAUUCCCGGGGUAGGGGUGAAAUCCUGUAAUCCCGGGAGGACCACCUGUGGCGAAGGCGCUCGGCUGGAACGGGUCCGACGGUGAGGGACGAAGGCCAGGGGAGCGAACCGGAUUAGAUACCCGGGUAGUCCUGGCGGUAAACGAUGCGGACUAGGUGUCGGGCAAGCUAAGGGCUUGUCCGGUGCCGCAGGGAAGCCGUUAAGUCCGCCGCCUGGGGAGUACGGCCGCAAGGCUGAAACUUAAAGGAAUUGGCGGG
rnacentral:rRNA from 1 species